rnacentral:SRP_RNA from 1 species
GCAGGGUGUGGUGGUGCGUGCCUGUAGUCCCAGCUACUCCGGAGGCUGAGGCUGGAGGAUUGCUUGAGCCCAGUUCUGGGCUGUAGUGCGCCAUGCUGAUCGGGUGUCCGCACUAAGUUCGGCAUCAACAUGGUGACCUCCUGGAAGCGGGGGACGACCAGGUUGCCUAAGGAGGAGUGAACCGGCCCAGGUCGGAAACGGAGCAGGUCAAACCUCCCGUGCUGAUCAGUAGUGGGAUCUCGCCUGUGAAUAGCCACUGCACUCCAGCCUGGACAACAUAGUGAGACCCCAUCUCU